rnacentral:tRNA from 1 species
GGUGCUGUGGCUCGGCAGGUUAAAGCCCUGGCCUGCUGCGCCAGCAUCCCUUAUGGGCACUGGUUCGAGUCCUGGCUGCUCCA